AUUGCUAACUCACACAUAAACACAAACGCAAUCAAAUCGACGCAACAAAGAGGUAUUUUCAAUCAUCUUUUUGUCUUAUUUGGACCUACUAGAACUCAUUUUCAAAUCAAUAUUGGAUUCCUAGAAGUGUAUUGUUUGUCAUUUUGUUGCACUAUUUCCAUGACACUAUAAUCAUUUUAUUUUGAGGUCAUCCGUUUUGACACGAUUUCGACCGAACGUAGCACGAACGUCACCCGAAACGGAAAGAAGGGCGAUGUUGCACAUAGCGAAGAAAGACAGCUGUCGUUUCAUUUUCAGCUGAUUUUUGUGUACGAGUGGCGGACGUUGGGAACCCAAGUGCCAACAGGAGAAUUUCGCAUUCGAGUGACUCGAUCCGUCGAUAUCUUCCGUGGGAAGCGAUAGGGCUCGAAACAUUGAAGGACAAACUCGAGAGGACAGGACGGGAGCGUCACGAAGAACAAAGGGAGAUGGUUCACUGAGGUCGCGCGGUGGUAGAGAGCCGUGACGUCACUCGGGUGCUCGGGCGAGGCCGAUGCGGGCGCGCGCGUGAGCUCGCGGCGCGGACGGCGAGCCUCGCGGGCCAGCCUGGCCUCCACUGACUCCGGGGACGAGGGCGCAGGCCACCGGCCGCCGCGCAAGCGCUCCCGCAGGCUGUCGCCGCCGCAGCCCGCGGCCAUGCAGCAGCCGCCCGCGCCGCAUGCGCCGUCCGCCAACGGCGACUCGCAGCUGCACCUCAAUGGGGACGCUCCGCGCAACGGCGAGCUGCCGCCCGGGCUCCGCAUGGGCGCCACAGACCAGGAGAUUGUGCGCCUCAUCGGCCAGCAUCUCAUCUCGGUCGGCCUCGAACGCAGCGCCGCGCUGCUGAUGGAGGAGUCGGGGCUGGAGCUGGAGCACGCGGCGGCGGCGCGGUUCCGCGCGCACGUGCUGGCCGGGGACUGGGGCAAGGCGGACCACGACCUGCGCGCGCUGGCCGACCUGCUGCGCGACUCCAGCGUGCCGGCGCACUCGCUCGCCGAGAUGAAGUUCGUGGUGCUCGAACAGAAGUACCUGGAGCACCUGGAGGCGGGGCGGGCGCUGGACGCGCUGCACGUGCUGCGCAACGAGCUGACGCCGCUGGGGCACGACACGGCCCGCGUGCACCGGCUGUCGGCGCUCAUGAUGUGCGCGUCGGCGGGCGAGCUGCAGGCGCGCGCGCAGUGGGCGGGCGCGGGCGCGGCCGAGCGCGCCAACGUGCUGGCGCGCGUGCAGGCCGUGCUGCCGCCGCGCCUCAUGAUGCCGCCCGCGCGCCUGCGCCGCCUGCUGGCGCACGCCGCGCAGCACCAGGCCGCGCGCUGCCGCUUCCACGCGCAGCCGCGCCCCGCCGCCGACGUCGCCGAGCCCUCCAUCCCCUUCACGCUGCUGCAGGACCACCACUGCUCUGCCGACCAGUUCCCCAUACACAGUCUUCAGGUCUUGAACGAGCAUUGCGACGAGGUGUGGUACUGCAAGUGGUCCCCGGACGGGUCCAAGCUGGCGUCGGGCUCCAAGGACAACACCGUCAUGAUCUGGGACUUCGACCCCCAGGCCAAGAGGCUCUCCUUCAGGAAAUCCCUGGAGGGCCACUCGUACGGCGUGUCGUACCUGGCAUGGAGCCCAGACGGUCGCUACCUCAUCGCUGCCGGGCCCGAGGACUGCCCCGACCUCUGGAUAUGGAACAUGGAGACGGAGCAGCUGCACCUGAAGAUGACCCACUCGCAGGAAGAUUCGCUAACUGCGGCAGCCUGGCACGCCACCUCCGACCGCUUCGUGUGCGGCGGCGCACGCGGACAGUUCUACCACUGUAGCCUCGAUGGCUCCCUGACCAACAGCUGGGACGGCGUGCGCGUGAACGCGCUGGCCUGCCGCAGCGACGGGCGCUCCGCCCUCGCCGCCGACACGCACCACCGCGUGCGGCUCUACGACUUCACCGACAUCACCGACAGGAACGUCAUCCAGGAGGAGCAUGCGGUGAUGGCGAUGACCCUGAACGCGGCUGACACUCUGCUGCUGCUCAACGUGGCCAACCAGGGCGUGCAUCUCUGGGACAUACGAGCCCGAGCGCUGGUGCGUCGGUUCCGCGGGCUCAGUCAGGGCCACUUCACCAUCCACGCGUGCUUCGGUGGCGCCCACCAGGACUUUAUUGCUUCCGGCAGCGAGGACAAUAAGGUGUACAUUUGGCACAUCAACGGCGAGGAGCCUAUCGCGGUGAUCUCCGGGCACACGCGCUGCGUCAACGCCGUGUCGUGGAACCCCGUGCACCACGACGUGCUGGUGUCGGCCUCCGACGACUACUCGCUGCGGCUGUGGGGCCCGCGCCCCGCCUGCUAGUACCGUGCCUCCCCGCCGCCCCGCCGCCGCUGCUGGGCCUUAUAAGGCACCCAACUGUGGGGACCUCUAACGAGUCUAGUGCGGCACUAGAUAAUGGGGUACCUUCUUAUAGUCCUAGUGCGGCACUAAACCAUGGGAUAUCCACCCGUAAUCCUAGUGCGGCACUAAAUCAUUGGACAUCUUUCCAUAGUCCUAGUGCUGCACUAUAUCAUUGGACAUCUUUCCAUAGUCCUAGUGCUGCACUUAACUGUAGGCACCUUCCCAUAGUCCUAGUGUCGCACUAAACCAUGGAAGAUCGUAUCAUUGUCCUAGUGCAGCACUAAAUUGUAGAGGCCCCACUGGCAGACAUUGCAACAUGUUGCUACGGAGGCGCCGCCCACAAUCGUGAAGCGGAACCAUACUGUACCCCGUAACGCGGCACGUGGCAUCCCGCGCGUGCCCCCAGGCGCAGCCCACAGCUCGCUCGUCACUCGAGUUAUGCAGGAAUUCCUAAAAGUUCACUAGUCGCAUCCUCCGUCCAUUUCAUACUAGAUCGUAAAUUCGUCAGAUUGAUUCAGUGUAGUGCAGGACUUAUAUUCAUUAUAACAGCUACAGCGAGUGUGGGCAAAGCGUCUCAUAACGUCAUCGGAGACUGAUUAAAUUAUAUGACCCCCUUUAAAAUCCCGAGCGAAUAAAUUAAAUAAUCACUGUUUUUAUUGAAGAAACGAAUAUUUUCAUAACGAUGCAUAUAUUACUCUCUAUUUAAGAGCUGCGCUCUUGUCGGUGGAGUAACCGCCAUUCCUCUGUUCUUCCCGCUAAAACCUUCACUUCCCGAUACGACACGACCUGCACCUUCUCUUUUAUUUGUUCCAUAAAUGUUAUCCUAGGUCUACCCCUUCCUCUCUUCCCUUCAAUUUUUCCUUCUAUAAUGUUUGUUAUAAAUUAAUCGUGUGCAUAUAUUACUAAGAAAUUAAAUAUUUCAUUUCAUUUUCAUCAUCUCCGAUGACCUUAUUGAAAUUGACACACAUAUGGAAAUGGUUGUGUCGGUACAUAACGUUUAAAUUAUCAUGUACCUUAUAAAUCCCCGUUCUGGUAUUGUUUGGCUUACGUCGGUCCUACUUGACGUGGCCUCUCAGCAGCGUGCGGCGCGGGGCGGCAGAGACACGCCUUCCAUUCAUCACCGAGUGCAAUAUACACAUGUGCAAUGUCACAUUUCUAAAUUUCUGUGUGCAAAGUAAAGGUGGCUUCGCCAAAAUGGAAUACUAACGAUACUCCACGACGUAGAACGGAGUUAUUUAUGUAGCGAGCUGCAUCAUUCAGCCGACUUCAACCAAUAAGCGUACAGGGUUUACGUUUAACUUCCGCCGGAAGUGAAGAUACUCAACGACGUUGUGACGCCGGCUGUCCGCGGCGACGAGCACUCGCGUGUUCACGUUUUCCAGUACUUUUUGUCUAUUGUUUGCGAAGGCUUCGACGGAGAUACUUUAGACGAGAAUAAAAAGUAAUUCGGAAAGCGAUAAUCAUUAGUAUGUAUGACGAGUUUCGAUUUUUAAUUAUAGAAAUUAACGUAUGAUAUAUCUUAAGUGUCGCCGCGGUGACGGCGCCCGCUCUGGGGGUGCGUUGUCUGGAUCUACCUAGGUUAUUACUAUAAGGCUCUUCGAUUAACUUAAAUUAAGACUUAAUGAUACCGAGCAGAUAUAUUUUGUAGCGGAGAUGCUCUCGGCUCUAUUUUUGUACCGACGGUGGGUGGCCACGUCGCACGUUACGUGCGGCAUACAUAUAUGCCGUGGUUCAUAAACCACGUGCGACGUAUACGACCCACGCGAAACGUGCGGCAUAUAUGACCCACGCGGCACGUGCGGCAUAUAUGACCCACGCGGCACGGGUGACGUAUAUGACCCACGCGGCACGUGCGGCAUAUAUGACCCACGCGGCACGGGUGACGUAUAUGACCCACGCGGCACGUGAAGCAUGUACGGCCCACGCGGCACAUAUGAUCUACGCAGCACGUGCGGCGACCCCGCGUGCACUGACAGCACCAGGCGCAGGCAGCAGCCGCGCUGGCGGGCUCCGGGAAACAUCUUGUACUACGUUUGCUUCCGGUAAAAUUAUGAAAUUAUGUGCGGACGCGGUUUUGUAAGCAUUUUUCUUUUUGAUGUUAUAUUAUAUUUUUAGAUGUAAUAAUUGUAGAUUUUGUAGUUCGCACAACGCCACGCGCGCGACUUGGAUCACGCGACCGAUGUGAAUCUGGCCCUAUCUAACGCUUGCUUACCCUUCAAAAACGUGUUUGCUAAAUUCUUGUUUGUUCACUGUGCAUACUCUGAACCCGCCGUGUCGCGUGGUCGGGCGCCGCGGGGCUGGCUGCGGCUUCCCGGAGUCCAUCUCUGUACCAAAUAUCAGGCAAUAAAAUGUAGUGUGAGUGUUGUGUGCGUGUAGAAGUACAAACGAGAGAUCGGUAUAAAGCUAACGAUAACAAUAUGAUAUGAGUAACGAUAGACAUAUGUAACGAUAGUGGAGGGCGCGAGUGUGCGGGCAGCCGCCCGGUUCGAAUUGUUAUAAAUAAAUAAUUAUUAUAUAAAUAAAUUUUUUAUCCUAAACUAAAA